GGGGGGAUGGCGCAGUGGUGGAGCGCCUGGAAAAAUUUUCUGCUGUCUCACGUCAGCAAAGAUCGAAGGUUCGAAUCCUUCUCCCCUCA
rfam:Setosphaeria turcica Et28A unplaced genomic scaffold SETTTscaffold_7, whole genome shotgun sequence.